GACGAACGCUGGCGGCGUGCUUAACACAUGCAAGUCGAACGCUGAAGCUCAGCUUUUGUUGGGUGGAUGAGUGGCGAACGGGUGAGUAACACGUGAGUAACCUGCCCCCUUCUUUGGGAUAACGCCCGGAAACGGGUGCUAAUACUGGAUAUUCACUGGUCUUCGCAUGGGGGUUGGUGGAAAGGGUUUUUCUGGUGGGGGAUGGGCUCGCGGCCUAUCAGCUUGUUGGUGGGGUGAUGGCCUACCAAGGCUUUGACGGGUAGCCGGCCUGAGAGGGUGACCGGUUACAGUGGGACGGAGAUACGGCCCAGACUACUACGAGAGGCAGCAGUGGGGAAUAUUGCACAAUGGGCGCAAGCCUGAUGCAGCGACGCCGCGUGAGGGAUGGAGGCCUUCGGGUUGUGAACCUCUUUCGCUCAUGGUCAAGCCGCAACAAUGGUUGUGGUGAGGGUAGUGGGUAAAGAAGCGCCGGCUAACUACGUG
rnacentral:rRNA from 1 species